UGAGAAAGAGGAGAAAAAUGGUUAAUACUGAAGCACUUCAAUUCGAUACUGACUGGUUGCAGAGGAGGUUUCCAUUGGAAAACUUUAAUUCAACCCGGCCGAAUAAAAACUUAAAUUAACUUAAUUAAUGGGAGUUUCAAAAGAAAGCUGCAAUUCACUCGGGAAUAAUAACCCCAUAAAAAACUUUAAUUCAGCCAGGCCUGGUCAAAAGAAGGUUGUUAUGAAAAAAAAUUAAAUUCAACCUGGUUGGAUGGUAUUUUCCAAGGAAACACUUAAAUUAAGUCCUGCUGAACGGGGAUUUCAAUGGCAAGAUUAUAAUUCACAGGGGUUUAAUAAUACCUUAAGAAAACUUCAAUUAAUCCAGGCUGAAUUCUGCCUGGUUUAACAGAAGGUUGCCAUAGAAAAACUACAAUUCAACCCCGCUGAAUUAUGUUUUCCAUGGGAAAUCAAAUUAAGCUCGGCUGAAUGGGGAUUUCAAAAAUCUGCAAUUCAUCCAGGCUUAAUAACUUUAUAAAAAACGUCAAUUCGACCAGUUUGAAUAGGGGGAGAGGAGAAAAUGUAUUAACUUUGAACCACAGCAAUUCAAUUCUUCCUGGUUUAAUAGAAGGUUGCCAUAGGAAAACUACAAUUCAACCUCGCUGAAUUAUGUUUACCAUGGGAAAUCAAAUUAAUGGGGAUUUCAAAAAUCUGUUCAAUUUAUAUUAACUUUAUAAAAACAUCAAUUGAGCCAGGCUGAAUAGGAAUGAAUACCACUUUAUUUUUAAAAUUAAUUUCCUACAGAAAUUUGUCAAUCCUGUGAGUCUGAAAUUGAUUUUCCAAUAAAAAACUCUACAGAAAUUUGUCAAUCCUUGUAUCUCCCUGGUCACGUCGUUCCAUUUCUAGAAAUCAGUUUCAAUUGACACGCUCUUCUCUUUUUUUAGAAAAAAUGUGGGUCAUUCACUUCAACGUAGCAUAUUUAUAAAGAAAAAGUUCUACACACCUGAGCGGGUCCACCCAAAAUACCGGUGGCAAAGCCACACAAUAGACGUCCUAUCAACAGCA